rnacentral:rRNA from 1 species
GGGCCCGCACAAGCGGUGGAGUAUGUGGUUUAAUUCGAUGCAACGCGAAGAACCUUACCAGGGUUUGACAUCCUGCGAAUCUCUUGGAAACAGGAGAGUGCCUUCGGGAACGCAGUGACAGGUGGUGCAUGGCUGUCGUCAGCUCGUGUCGUGAGAUGUUGGGUUAAGUCCCGCAACGAGCGCAACCCACGUCUUUAGUUGCCAGCGAUUCGGUCGGGAACUAUAAGGGGACUGCCGGUGAUAAACCGGAGGAAGGUGAGGACGACGUCAAGUCAUCAUGGCCCUUACGAGUAGGGCUACACACGUGCUACAAUGGGGAAUACAGACGGACGCUAAGCCGCGAGGUGGUGCU